UCGAAAAAUGAUGUGUAAGUUUAAUUUUUGAGAGUAGUACUGAGUGUACCGUACAAUGUUCGUCAUACUAAGUGAGAUAGUAACGCAAUAAUUGCGAAUAUUCCACAUGUAGAGGGCAAAUUGCUGUUGCAUGUAGAACGCCAUGUGUUCUUUUGCAAUCAGAGGUUAUCAUCAUUUCUAUGACUGACCUAUCACUUGGUCAUACCUAUUGCUUUUUAUUCCAAUUAAAGGGGGGGGAGGACAACUUCGAGUUACGAUUUAUUCAAAUUUUACCAUCAACAUCGGAAAGGGAAAAAGUCUAGGGCAAUAUUUGAUGAUUGGAAUCCAGUGACCUAACUUGGUCCAGCUGAGCGUUGUGAUAUCUGGGAAUUGUGACAUGGUAUUCCACGCAUGACAACUAAGACAAAGACAACCUUUAACCUUAGGGGAUUUCUAAUUUUCUGCAAAUUCAUACAGUUGCGCAGCCUUUAAGGCACGUUCAGGAAAUCAUCUAGGAGGUCUAGGGGAGCAGAUUCUUUCAUCGUAAGUACGGGAGUGGCGCCGUGGUUCACCUCAAAUUUUAGAGGAUCCAGGGGUUCCCCAACAACUGCUGCAAUUGUAGAAACACCUAGAGGAAGUGCUGGAUUGAUACAGUCAGGAUACAGCGGCCAGGUUGAAAUGAACAUUGAUAAGCGAUUUGGCUAACAACGGGAACUUGAGUUCGUCAAGGUCUUUUCCUGGCUUGAAUCCAAUCCAUAAUUUAGUAUUCAUGACACCCUUGUCAUGGUAGAAGUUCCUGCUUCCUGUGCACGAACAGUAGGCAAGAUCUUCUACCAUGCUCCAAAAAUCGCAUCCAAGAAUGAUGAAUGAGGGUGUCAUGAAUACUGAGUGAUGGAUUAUGAUGUAACAGGUGGUCACUUUACCAUGUCAAAAAUAGAUUUUGAAUUUGCAUUUUGUUAAACAGGAAAAUUUACAUAUAUACCGCUUCAUAGCGAACAUGAACAAAAGUAUGUCUGGCGAUAACAAGCAACAUUUGGGAAGGCGAGCGCGGUUGCCACGAUAUCUUCAACCCAAAAGAGUUUCAAAGCUGAGCAGGUCCGUGCCGAUUUUCGCGAACUGUCACGUACUACGAGAGGAACGCUGAAUUUGAAUUCUUAGUGAAGUUACGAGCGUUAGCACCCACAAUUUGGGGUGCGUUUAUUAUUAUUGUUACUAUUGGUUUAUUUCGCGUGUUGUGAGAAAUUUCGCGGAUGUGUGAAGAUUCGUUGUGAGAUUUUGAGAACCAGAACGUGCAUUUAUUGACAGUUGAUAGUAGUAAAGAAUUAGCAAUUUAACUUUGGGUAAAAACAUAUUCAGUAGCGAGAAGGAGAGUUUCCUGCAGUUUUAUGUGUGCGAAUAGACAGAUUACCGUAAAUUACGGGAUGAGAUUUCUAGCAAGGUUUUUUUUUUAUUUGCGAGUGGUCAAAUAUACCUGAAGGGACAUUUUCCAGUCGAAGAACCGCUUUUCAAAUUAAAAACGAGAUUAAGUAAACUGAUAUUAAAAUCAUUGUGAUAGCUUUGGAUCGCUAACCGUAACGGCUGGUUAAAAGCAAACUUUUUGAAGUGAGUUAGUUAAGCAGCCUGAUUUCUAGCAAAACCUUUUUAUUUGCGUGUGGUCAAAUAUACCUGAAGGGACAUUUUCCAAUCGGAGAACCACCUUUCAAAUUAUAAAACGAGAUUAAGUAUGCAAUGAUUGUUUCGGAUCGCUAAUCGUAACGGCUCGUUAAAAGCAAGAUCCCUAAAGUUAAGUGAAGUCUUUGGACAUCGCAGUUGCUUUUCGGGUUUUCUGAUGGUGAAUCAGCCAUUCAGGAAAAAUCGUUCGUAGUCCUCAGAUGAAGCCUUUCUCUCAAGACGGUUUAUACUUUGCGUAUAGAAAAUAGGACUUGUUUGCAAGUAGGGCAGCAUCUUUUUUACAGAUUUUAGGUGCAACUCACAAUUUCCACUUGCUCUUCGCAUUUUUGAGCAUCAUAACUCCCUACAGCCACCUCCAAUCCAUUAUAUAGCCAAUCGAUCCAAGCAAAAACAGAAUGAGAUGAAACACUCGCUUAGUUGUAUCAUGACACUAUUAAAAUCUCCAAUAAAAUUGUUACGUUGGGCAAAGGUAAUAAAAUUACCUUGAGAUAAGCACACGUUAAGUGAAUACCAAUCAAAUAUAAUAAUUACAAUUCGAUUGCAUCGAAAACCAAUAUGUAAGCAAACGUAAAAAUCAAGGAAUCAACGAAAAUAACAAAAUAUACCUUUGAACUUCGGGUCGCAACCUUAUGAGCUCAGAAGGGUGCGUUAUGCAGAUCUGUUAACGAUAAAACACAACAAGCAUACAAAAGUGUUAGUGAAUCGCGCUGCUACAUAAUAUUGCGAAAUAGCAAUACUAACAUGUGCCAAUGUUGUCCAAGUAGGACAACGUAAAAGAUAAUAAAAAAAAAACUUUGAGUGAAUACUGCUUAAUUAUGUAGCAUACCUCGAAUUGUUCAAAUGCAAUAAUACUAAUCCCUAAAACGAUUCAAUGGAGUCACCAAGACAUCACAGAGAAAGAAAGAAAUCACUCCCCCCAUCACUAAUCCCAAGAAAGGUAAGACCCUAGUCAGUAAAAGUAAUGGAGUACCAAAAGACCCUUGCAAGUAAUCAAUUCAAAGGCAGAAACUUUACUGAAGAGGAAGUAGUACAACUGCGCAGACAAGAUAAACAUAAAGGAGAAGGAAUAACAUUGGAAACACUAUGGAAGACACUGCGCGACCUCGGUCGGCGAGGCAAAUAACUAGGUACAGUAUUCAAGUUAAAGACGAUUGUCACUCAAACAGAUCUACAUACUAAACAGAAGAAAAGUUAAUUAGGCAUCAUCCGGCAGCGGGCACGAGAUAAGAAAGGAACGGAUACA